CCAGCGAACUCCCUGCGGCCCGCGGCACUUUCCAGGGCGGGGGUGCCUGCAACCUCUGAAGCCCCAAAGGGCGUUUUUUACAGUGCUCUUUUAGCUCUGCUGACCGCGGAUGGCUUAAGUGUUAACAGCUGAGUGGACUCUUUGCCUUUUCGCAUGAGUUGGCCGCCCUGUGCCAGCAAGGGCAAAGGGCCAGUGUAACAGCUGUUUGUAUCUGCACUCGUGGCUCCUGAGCUCCUGUCUGGCAUACAGGAAAAACGAGGUCACAUCAACAAAUUGAAGGAUGGUAAAUGUUGGGGACUUUAUUGCCAAUGAAAGCGGCUCUCACUGGGAGCUGAAAAGGGGAUGGAAAGCUGAAAAGGGGAGGAGGUGAGUAGAUACCUGAAGUCUGACCAUCUACAGCAGCUGGAUUAUUCUCCAAAGUUACACUGUCAAGCUGUCCCUCUGAAGCCAAGACACUUCUCUCCGACAUCCAGCCGUAGUUUCUGCUCUUCUCCAAUUGAGUAUGAGAUACUGCAGCAGGAACCGUCAUAUCCAAUCAACCUAAAGUUCUCCGUUCACCAAUCACCUGUCAGGAUGGACCAAUUUCCAUUUAACCAUCAGUAGAACCUGGGACCAGGAUCCCACCUUGGAAACACAGGGCACUAAGUCAAUAAAGGAGUGGGACAAGGCCAAUACAAAGUUUUCCUAUAUGUAAGUUGCUUUAUUUUUGACUUUUAACUGAGCUUAAAAUCUCAGCUGAAGUUUGAGUAGAGAUUAUUAACCCAAAUGGAGGGCUGAUUAAAAAAAUUUUUUUUCAUUAUAUAACCUCAUCUUAGUUCCUAUUUUUAUUUUUUCAAGGGCUUUUAAAAUACUUACAUAUCUUUAUCUAAUUUAUUUUCUAUCUACUGGAAAGUGUCUGUAGCCCUGAAUUCUUGAAAUAGACAUUUUUCAGAGCCAAGAACUUUCUGGAUGAUUUUUGGGUCUGCAGUUACUUAAAUAAUAAGUUGCUACUCAUUUAUAUAUUUUUCUCCGAUGUAUUUAUCUCCUUUUCAGACCAAAUUAAAGAGAGUAAAACAAUAACUAAGCUAAUAGAUGAAUAAUUAACAAUGAUAUUUCAUGUCCAAUGUCUGCUAACCUGUGAUCAUUCUAAGUAGUCGGCAGAAGGUUUGCCAGUUACAGUGGUUUAUUUUAAAAAGCGUCAGUUUUGUCAUAUUUGUUAUAUUUUGUGGCAAAUAGGCAGUCAGAACAUUGGUGUUUGUGGAUUAUGGAUGAAUUCUAUAAGCGAUACUAUUCAUUUUCAUAUUUCUAGCCUACACCUAUUCCUACAUGUUAUAUAUAUAUACACACACAUAUAUAUACUACUUUAACUAAUCUUAAUAUUAACUAAAAAUUAGCCUGUAUUCUAUUUGCUAUUGUUAAGUGAAGUGUUUCUUUCUUGUUUUCUCCAAAAAGUUCUAAUUUGCAUAAAUUUCCAGGACAACAUUGUUCUUUACUUACAAAUGCCUAUAUUUCUAUUAUUUCUGAUAUGCCCUCAAGGGUUUUAAUUGAUGAAAUAAGUCUUUUUCUUAAUGUCAUUUACUAUGUUGACUUUUUUCCAAUAUUUCUGCCAUUCAUUAGAAUUUUAUUCUACUUAUUCCCAGAAAAAAUUUUACACUUCACAGGCUUAAAUGACAUACAUGGAUGGGCUCUAUAAUGCUUUGGAAUGCUCUGGUUAGCUACAUUUUUAGAAGUUUUGCUCACUAAAAAGUGGCAUGAGAAUUUAAAAGUUAUAUUCUUAGCUUUAAAAAGUAAGUCAAAAUUCUUUCAGACACAUGGUCCAUUUCUAAUACUCAGGACAGAUCAGGAGGGGGUGGUAGGCAGAAACUGGCAGGAGAUUAUUCAUUGGUGUAGAACAGUUGAUGAGAUCCUGAUUUACCCACAGAAGAUGACAGACUGAAAGGUAGCUAAUAACAUCACUGGAGCUGGAAACUGAGACAUGAUUUAACAAAUGAUUGACACAUCAGGGCAAGGAAAGAGUCUACCUUUUAACUGGGGUUCUAACCAGGGUUCUCAUCCUAAAGCUUAAAUAAAUUAGAUAUAAGAGAAACCUCCUUUACUAAACAAAACCCGGAGAUCCAACAUUUCAGCAUCGUAAGAAGAAGCUGGAGGAGGAUGAGGUCAGUUCACUAAUCUGCUCUGAUUCUGUUUCUCCUUGAUAUUUUUCCCAUUUGGUUCCCUCACUCGGAUUAACACUGUUACCUUCACACUGAGUUAUUCCAUUUUCAUGCUCUGGUACAGUACAGAAAGAAAUGCUGUCUCAUGGGUUUUCAAAGCACAACUAAAUGGCUUUAAUAUUAACAAAUAAGACUAUAAAGAAAACAAAUAUAUGGGCUCUAACUUGCCACGUGUAGGUUUAUUAAUACCUCGCUAUAAUGAAGGCUAUUCCAAUGUGUACACGUUUUAUCCAUCUCUGUCUCCAGUGUCAGAGCUGGGAUACAGCUUCACCAUCACCUUGUCUGCAUUUCCUGCUUUCCCAUUCCCAGGUUGCGUUCAUGUCAAAGUUGCCAACAUACCUCCAGCGAAAAAGAAUUUAAUGCAACUGGUAAUGCUAACCCUUCUACUCACUAUUAACCCAAAUGUUUACAUUGCAUAUUUUAGCCUUCCAUAAUUUUCACUUUGUGUAUUUAAAUGAGCAUGUACAAAUGUUUAGCUCUCAAUUGUGAAUUUUCUCACUUAAAAAUCACGAGGCUAUGCAGAAAGAUACAAUUCCUUAUUCUUUUCCCCUCUCUUUAUUUUAUAUUCUUUAAGUCUGAUUUAAUCUGUAAGUCUGAUUUAACUCCUGAAGUCUGAUUCAGACAUUGCCAUACCCAGUCUUCCCAUUAUUUAUGGCUUCUUGCUGAGGACACUGUCUCUUUACAUUUUGUUCAUUUUCUUUCAGAGAUUCUAUGAGAUUAAUUUGAAAUAUUUUUCUUGGAAGCAUUUUUGAAGUUGUUUUUCUCUGUAGUUUUGAAUGAAUCAUCUGAUUUCUGCUCUUUAUUUAAACAUCAUUUCAAAAUUUAAUCUCCUUCAUAAGACUAAAUAACAUUCUGUGUGAUAGCAGACAUUUUCUGCACAGAAUUACAAAAGGGAAACAAAGUAUUGUUAUAGUAACUUGGACUUUUAAUCAUGUUUAUUUGUAUGUUUGUGAACCUCCUAUUUCACUGCAAACCACAGUCCAACAUUCUGUGUAAACUUCUUAUUCAUUAGUUUAACAUUUAAUUAUUUUAAUGUGAAUUAAAUUAUUCAAAAAUUUUUAUUAGAUGCCCACAGUGGGCCAGGCCCUUUUCACGCACUUGGCGUUUGUUAUACAACAGACAGAGGCCUUGUUUUUAUUUUUUGUGGCAGGUGGUGAAGGAGAACAACAAAUUUAAGAUAUACAUUAUAUUAUGCCAGAGUAUAUCUGUAUAUUAACGUUAUAUGUAAUAAGAGUCUAUGUGGAAAAUAAAAUGGGCCAGUAAAGCAGGGCAGUAGACAAAUCAAGUGCUAGGGUGGAAUGGGCAUAUUAAAAUAUUAAAUGUUACCACCAUAGACCUCUCAAGAAGAAAACAUUUAAGUCAAGAUUUCAAGGAGCAAGAAAAUUAGCCAAAUGGAUAUCAAGGAGAAAUCCUUCCAGCUAUCCAGCUAUAAAAAACAGGCCAAGCAAGUAUUCUAUUAUUUCAUAAGAAAUCACCACAAACAGUAAGUUAAAACAAUACCCAUUUCUUUUCUCACACUUGUGUAGCUCAGAGGUCUGGGUAGAAGUGACUGGGUUCUCUGUUUAGAGUUUCACCAGGCCAAAAGCAAGGUUUUCGGCAGAAUAGGCUAUCUGGAGGACCUGGGGAAGAAUCUACUUCCCAGCUAAUUCAGGUCAUCGGUAAAAUUCAGUUUCUAAUACAUUGGAGGCCAGCAGGGGAUCACAAUCAGCUCCCAGAAAUUACUCUCAGUUCUUCCAGGCAGCCCAUUCCAUUCCAGUGGCAGAGAACCUUCCCUGUGACAAACCCCUCUCAUGCUUUAGAUCUCCCUGGCUUCCUCUUCUGCUACCAUCCAGAGAAGACUCUCUACCUUUAAAGAGCUCCUGCAGUAAGGUUAGAUCCACUUAUAGAGUCUUCUUUUUAAUUAAUUCAAAGUCAACUGAUGAUUAGCCUCAAUUACAUCGCCAAGAUCCAUUUAUUCCAGGUAAUGACACAUAUUCAUGGAUGUGAUCUCAUCAUAAUCAGUCCUGGGAUCAGGGUGAGAUAUUUUGGGAAGGCAUUUUAUAAGUCUGCCUACCACAGGCCCUAAGGCAAUGAUAUUCUAGGAACAUCAAGAAGACACAGGUAGCUGGAGAGGAGUGUACGAGGGGGUUCCGAGAGGUAAUAAGCAACCCUUAUGCAGGGUCUGCAAGGUGUGGGGAAGAGUUCAUGGAGGUAAUGGAAGAUGCUCACAUGCGGUGCCGUAGGUUAUCUUAAGAACUUUGAAUGUUACGUGGAGUGAAAUAUGGAGCCACAACAGGAUUUAGGACAGAGUUUUUAAAUACUUUUCUUACUUGAGGAUAAACCAUUGCACCGAAGAACAAAGUAUAUAUAUUUUUCUUCU